UGCUUAUAACUGCCACUGCUAUGAGAAUAUUUUAUUGAACAAUUAUAACAAUUACUUCGACUAACUCACAAGCUAUCUAUUAAAAAUAAGCCUUCUGGAAUAGUUAAGUCACAAAUAUUUAGCUAUGGACAGAAGAAUCAUCUUUCUGCUUGGUUUAUUGUUUCUGAUUCAAACUACUUGGGCAACCAUCAACAAAAAAUUUCGCUGGCACGGAAAGAGGAAGUGGUGGUUAAGGUUUGUAAAGCAAUACAGCGGAAAUGAAAAUAUACAAGAGAAUGAUCCAAACAUGGACAUUGGACCUAUGGAUUUCAGAUAAAAACCAAUAUAGUUAUGUUAUAAAGAAACAGAUGAUCUAAAUGUACUGACAUAUCUUACAAAAUAAUUGGUUCAUCCUGUCAACAAACAGCACAGAUAAAAUUCUGGAUAAAAUGCCUUUGCUUUUAUUUGUAUCAAUAAUAAGACCAGCUCAGCUUUUGGAAGAAGUUAUUUAUUAUUAACCAAGCAGUUAGCUGUUAUAGUAUACAUUAUACUGUACAGUAUUUUAAAAAACAAAAUACAUAAUGGUUUUAGGGUAAUUUGAGUUUCCAUUUAAAAGUCUAGUUAAAACGUUCUGUUUUUCCAACUUCUAUAGUUAAACAUGUUUUCUACAAUAUGUUACUGUAUGUUUCGUCAAGCGUUUGAAAUAUGCACAUUUAACUACAAUUUUCAAUACUUAACAUUGGCGCAUUUUUGCAACAUUACAUGUAUCUGUUGCUGAUUGGGUAUUAGGGCAACGUGUCACUUAUGAUGGCUGAGCUGUCUAAAUACCAAAGAAGGUUGGUAGGACUGCUCUCAAUUCAGUAUAUACAAUAAAAGCUUCAAAUUAAUUCUACCUAUACAUUACCAUACAUGAGUAUAUCAUCAUGCAUAGAUAUAUGAUGUUCAAAGAAUUAUACUAUGUAAGUCGGCAACAGGAGUUCGGCAGUUUUGCUCUAAUUUAAAUAUUACUAGUGAGUGCCUGAAAGAGUUAAAAGUAUUAGAUUACCAUGGAAUUUACUGAAGAUUUAUUUAAAUAUAAAUAUUAAAUGACUGCUCUCGCUUUAAAUGUUUUAAAAUGAUUCAUGGAAAAUGAAUUCAAAAGCUGACACAGUGUUCGGCUAAUCACAACAAAGUUCUGCAUAAAAGCCACGCAUUUGCAACGUUGCACACACAGUUUCUAGCAAAUGCCAAGAGAUGGAUCGAAGAAUUGUUUUUCUACUCGCAAUGCUGUUGCUUCUUGAGUGCAGUUUGGCGGUAACAGUAACAGUAAACAAGCCGCGUACAAGAAGAUGGUGGCAUCGAGGAAUUUGGAGACGAAGUUGGUGGUCGAGAAGAAGACUAAUAAGAGGAGACGUAAUUCCCCAAGAUAUGGACAUUCCAGACUUUGAAAUGGAUGAUGAGCAGAUAGACUUUGAAUAAACUUUGAUCAACAUGCAAAAUUUGCUUGUGUCAAAGAAAAGUUACAUUCUAUUUAAAAAUAAAAACUAAAAUAU